AAAUUGAAGAGUUUGAUCAUGGCUCAGAUUGAACGCUGGCGGCAGGCCUAACACAUGCAAGUCGAACGGUAACAGGAAACAGCUUGCUGUUUCGCUGACGAGUGGCGGACGGGUGAGUAAUGUCUGGGAAACUGCCUGAUGGAGGGGGAUAACUACUGGAAAUGGUAGCUAAUACCGCAUAAUGUCGCAAGACCAAAGAGGGGGACCUU
rnacentral:rRNA from 1 species